GCGCCGUCCUCCCCAAUCGCCACUCCCCAAUCCCCUCGUCCUGAUGCUCCUGCUCUCCUCCUCCCCCUCCCUUGCCAGAUCUCCAUCUCUGUCUCCAUGGUGUUGAACUGGAGGUGCACGGGAAGCCAUCACUGUUGAGGUUCAUGCCCGGCCGCCACGAGCCGACGCGUUGGGCCGCCGCCUACCCGUGAAGACGCCAAACCAAGGUGAGCUGCUUCAUAUCCUUGUGGCGGUCAACGGCAAACUUGGCACGGACAGCCACGAAGAUCUCAUGGCUAAAACGUGCCACCAAUCCGCCCUCGUCGCCAACCUCCUCUCCCGUGCUCUCCCGGCGGCGUUGGCCAGCAGGUCAGCAGAGGAGCAUUCUUCCUUCCUCGGCUAGACCUACAGAUUGGAGGAGCUGAGAUGGUGGAGCUUCAAGGGGAGCGCGCAGUGGCAGCCUCCAGUUGGAGCGUCAGCGGCUGCUCCACCAGGAAGAGCUCUAUCACCAUCCCCACACUUCUCACAUCUACAUGGUUGUGAGUGCAUUUACCCAAGAUUGAGGUUCCUCUCCCCCUACUGCUCCACUGGGGGGAGCACCGUCUUUGUCGCCGAACGCUUUGUCCUGGCGUCGACGUGGCUAUGUCUACAUUUGAUUACCUUUUUCUCUGUGCUUAAUAAAGGAGAGAAACGGAUGUGUCUACAUAGCGGCAAUGCGGAGCUGAAACUGCUGUAAGAAGCAUUAUUUUCCACUGUGUGUGCCUGCUUUCCUGACAUUAGUUUAUAUUUGAUUGGCCUCAGCAAUGGGUCUAAAAAUGGAUACAACAAUUCAUAAUUAAUGACAUAAAUUGUAUGCCUUCAAUGACUAGCAAGAUCUAUUUUAUUUUCUUACUAUAUUCAUGAUGCGGCACCAUUUUGUACUGUUUGGAAACACUUUGUACUGGUGUUGGUAGCUUGUGACUUUAACAACAGAGGAUUUAUAAACCCACAUGUCAUUCAUUGUGCCUUUGCAAACAGUAUUGUCAAAAUAAUACUUCUAUCUAUAAGUGCGGUACUUACUGCAUAGGCAGAAAACAUGUGGUCUCGAUCAUGUUACAGGUUGGUUAUAGAUUUAAUGUUACUGCAUUUUUUUGAGGGUGAUUUGCAUUGCACUGUUAAAUGAUACUAUAUCACUGUAUUAAAUAGAUUGGCUACAGUGCAAUCUAAAACUUCUAUUGGAGUUUAGGAGGGUUUUAAGUUGAUUUAUCUCUGAUGGAUUUUCCUUUUCCAGUGUUCGUUUAUAGCCAUUUCAAGCCAUAGUUUUGUAACAAUAUAAGAGGUGUAUGAAAGUAUUUAUUGGAUGGGUUAUUUCUUUGAUUUUCUCUGUAAAGGAGUUCUAAGGAGUUCUGGAGUUCGUUGGCAAGGUAACAUGUACAUUUUCCUAUCCACAUGUCCAAGAAAAGAUCAAAUGUUGUGAAAUAGAUCUGUAUUAUUAUUGUAUAAAGUGAUUCAUAAAUAUUGAUAGUUCUAGAUCUCUUUUCUUUCAUGGGCUUAUCUAUUUUAAGCCUACACGGCAAAUCUGCAAUGUUGCCCUAUAAGUCUUUCAUGUGUCCGUCUUCUCUUUGCAUGUUUCUGCUUCCUCCUAUUGUUGCCCUAUAAGUCUUUCAUGUGCCCGUCUUCUCUUUGCAUGUUUCUGCCUCAUUAGAUGUUGUAUUUUAGCCUGUAGUAGAAAACACCAUAUAAAACUUGGGGAUUUUUUUUAUUGACGUUACUACUACUGCUAAAGAGGCUUAGUUGUCCACCCAAGAAAGACGAUUAGGCAAAAUUAGUGAGUGCGGUUCAUAAUGAAUUUAAUAGAACACUAAUCGGCAUAUCUAUAUAAUGUAUUGGUUUCACUAGCUAUGCAUGGGUUCCUAUAUGUGUGUGUUUUACUGGACGUUUUGAUAUUUUGAGGGAUGUCGGCGAACAGUUCUGAUCGUGCUGGUACACCUGGAAGGGCAAGUACACCUAGAACGUGUGCAGAAGAUUGUCUCUUGAGUAACCAAUUAUGUUGCUAUUUCAUAAUUUAUUCAGCUUUACCACAGGUUGAAACCGGGCAUGUCUUCACUUGCUACAUAAUUUAUUUAGCUUUAAGUUAUUCGUGCCAGUGACUGAAACUUGGUGCCUUUUCUAGGGCAAUUGUGUGUCCUUAACUUCCUGGGACGGAGUUAAUUAAAUUCAGUUUCAACGAUACCUAGAGGACCGAGGAACUUGAGUACUCUUGGCACGUAUAUUAAAGAUCUGUUGUGUAAGUAUGAGGUAAAUCUCUCUUGAACUAUAAUAGUCCUAGAUUUUGGUCUAUGCGUUACUUUUCAGUUGCUUGCAGUAUUGUUGGAUUCCUUUUCUGUCAUAAGUACAUGUCACCCCGUUUAGAUAAUCCUUAUUGUUCUUUGGCAUAUAUAUUUCAUUGGAGAAAUAUAAUAUAAUACUUAGAUGGUUGUACUCCUCAAUGCAUCCAGACCAGCAAUAUCAGAUGUAAUACGGUAGCUGUCACAUUUUACUAGAGUUUUUACAUGCACUGGUUGUUAAAUCUUCUGAAGUGAUUGCUUUUGAAUAGGUACUUGUCUUAUUAGCUAUAACCGAAUCAAGUUCUUUCUUUCUAUUUUUUAUGAGAAGGAAAUAAGAUGCCAUAAAAGUCAGUGACAAGCCUUCCGUUAAACCAUAGUUAAAAAUAUCUUCAGGCUAUUGUUUGUUUGUCCCAUUGAUUUAUUUAGUUAGAUAUAUCACGUAGAAAAUUUGUGACAGUUCUUCUCUUUUUUGCAAUCCAUUUAUUUUAAUAGAGUCUAUGGUAACAAUAUUUUUUGCUGUUGAAGCUUGGAUGCUUCUGGUUUUGAUGAAGGUAGAAUAAAUUACACUAGGAUAAAAUAAAACAAUAGAGAGCCCAUGUUUGUUUGUUUAUUUGCAGAACGAUUGAAUGUUAUGGUUCUCAAGAAUUUGUGUUUUGUAAAUUGUAUUCUGUACUUUACAUUUACUUGCAAUACAGAAAUGGUUUUCCUUUGGACAUUUAUAUUCAUUUCUCAUUUGGGUUUGGUUCUUCCAUUGUACUCAACAGUCAGAUACUCUCCCUGUCUAUGUGUAUUUUCUACUAUUUUUCUCUCCAAUUUACAGGUAGGUCGUCGAUAUCUCCUUCAAAUAUAAAUUCAAUCACUACAUGCAAUACUGCCCUAAGUUGUAUGCAGGUAAAAUAUUAUGGAUUCACAGCUUUGGUUCGUUGAAGUGUGAACAGUUGGUUCAGUAUUAUAUGGAGCAUGAAAUGUAUACAUAGUUUGUAGCAUUACUAUAGAGAUGGGAGAAUGGACGACUCCACCUCCUCCAACCUCACCUCCCAUCGGCGCCCACAGUGGUAAAGUAAUGCAUGCAGAGACGCCCAAAUAUGCUGAGCCGAGGUGAGUCGAUGUCAAUUUGCAAUAGGUGUUUUUUUUCCUUUCAUGAAUCUUCAUGUGCCCACACAUAUUGUAUGGAUGCGAUGCCGCAGACGCAUAUAGUGAUUUAUUACUGUUAACAUAUGAAUUUCCUCUUCUUUUGUCGAUCUCCCAUAGGAGAAGUAAAAGAGAAGGACCAAUUGUUGUGGUCGAUUUGUAGGAAAAAUUCCUUUUGUGCUUUAAUUGAAACUUGUUUUAUUUAUCUAUUGAUAUAGAAAGCAGUCAAAUUUCAUUCCCUGUUUUCUUAUGCUAAUUCUAGAGCCUAUAAAGAUAUACAACUUAAGAAAUGCAUACAUGGUUUCAUCCCAAAACUAUUCUCUACAUGAGUCAUAAUGCAGCGUUUCUUUUUUGUUUCUCAUGUGGUCAAGCACUCAGCCUGAGUAGGUCGAAUCUCUUCAAUUGAUUUGGCAUGUGAGCUCCUGGCCUUCUUUUAUGGGGCUCUGCAAUAUUUGGUCUGCGUUUUGUACCCUUGUGGGAGUUCGUCAAGAUUUUGUAUGUGACUAGGGUGUUGUUUGGAAGGGUUUCGGUCCUACUGUAGUUGGGCGUCCUACUGUAGUUGGGAUCUCUUGCAGAGUGAGUGACUUUGGUUUCUUUGUUGUAUUUGAGGCACCCAUACUGGCUUAAAUCUUUGUUAUCUCCUUCACUGAUUUUAAGGAUUUUAGUUUCAUGUGAGGUAGUGGAAUCUAGGCGUUUGCAGAGCGUGUAAUGUAGUGUUCUGGAGUAGAUAUCCCUCAGUUUCUGGGUUCCUAAUCAUUGCUUGGUUCAUUUUUCGCUAACUUGUGUCUUACUUUAAAUUUUAGAUUGUUUUAUUUGCAAUGGAAUGUCAGCUUUGUUUUUGGUAAUAUGUUCGCUUUAAAGAGUUUGGUAAUCUCAACCCUACAAUGUUUGUGUCUAGAGUGAUUAUUUUUACUUCCUGAUAUCAUUUUGAUGCUUGUAAUCUCCAGUUUGACGGGAGGCGCUGAGCAUUAAUCGUUCCGCUCCACAUGUUAAAUUUGUUUGUUCGGAGAAAUUAAUGUCCUUGUUCUUCCAUGCUAGAUUUUUUUAGUUCAAUACAACGACUUGUGCGUUCUAAAACCAUCAUCGAGAUGGUUCAGGACAUCAGGUGUUAUUUUCAGAUUUUCAAAACAAACCUUGGAAUUUCUAAUUAAAAUAAACUGAUGAGUUGCUAUUGCCAUCUCCGAGAAGGAUAUCAUUCUUGCUUUCUUGGAUAGAUUUAUAUAACAUUCAACUUCACAAUUUCACCUUUUUCCAGGGGACAUAAUCAUACAUUACUAUACUGUUCGAUGAAUAAAUCCUUACUGACUGGACUUCUGCCGAAUUUUGUAAUAUAAAUGUCUGAUUGAAUUCUACAUAGUAAGACACUUCAAUAGUUGGACUGUUACUGGAAACUUGUGUUUAUAUGGUGUUAGAAGGAUACAAUAAUUUAUGAUGCAUGGAGUAGAGUAUUAUAACAUUGCUAGCUUGAAAUGAUAAACAUUGGACUGUUCAAGUGUUUGGGUGCAAGUUCAAGUGCUUUUGUUCCUUCAUCCUUUGGGAAAUGAUUAAUUAUCUAACAAUGAGAAUAUCAGUGGAGUGGCAAUCCUGAUGGUCCGUCCGUUCCAUUUUGUAAUGCAUGUUUUUAGUCUAUUUCAUGAAAUAAGAUAUUAGAGGGAAGUGACCAUGGUAGCCAAUGGUAUUAUUAUCUAGAGAAUAUGAGAGAGAACAGUCAGUAUGUAUGUGUACUCAUAAAUGCUGGAAAUAAAUAAAUUAGUAAAAGAGAGAGAAGAGUCGUCAGUUCUACAUGCAGGUGUUAUAUUCUAAAUGAUUGUCAAAUUUAUAUUUUUAAAUGGAUGGAGGGAAUAGCAUUUAACUGUCAGACAACUCAGCUAUGUCCAAAUGGCAGAUGCAAGUACACGCUUCUUGAUGUGGAUGUAUAUGCUGAUGCACUCUUAGAUGUUGUGCCUUCUACCUAGGCCCUUCUGUGGAGCAUAUCUACAACCAGGAAUCUAAUGCUGGAAGUAUGUACAUGGCAGUACUCGAUCAGGGAGCUGAGCUCUAGGUGUCUUCAUAUAGCGGUAGCAAGUGUCGAGGGCUCAAACUACCAUCUGCAGCUGCAAAUAUGGAUGCAACUCACUCAGCUUAGGUGUCUGCAUAUAGCAGCAGCAAUUGUUGAGUGCUCAAACCACCAUCUACAGCUGCUGCAAGUAUAUAUGCAACUCAUUUAGCAUAGAUCAUAUCAUUAUGUUUUUGCUAUUGCCACCUGGUUCUAUGUGCUGCCAUGGCCAGAGGUUUCUUUUAUGUAUUUGUACUGGUCUAUAAAAAUGUAAUGAAUGUGUUGAAGGCUACCUAAUCGUAACCUAUC